CAAGCGUGUAGGAAGAAACGGGAGGUUAAACGGGUAAACGGUUCAAAAGACACGCGCGUUUUAGUGCGUUCGGACGACGAAACGGAUCUGCAGUAAAGGGACUUUUCUAGAGGCCGUCGCCGACGGGUUCCCACCCCGUCGCCGACGGGCUCCCAAAAGUGUGAAAGAGGCCGACGGCCUAACCGACUGGUUACGGGUUAAAUUGGACGACGGGCAUUUUAAGAGGCCGUCGCCGACGGGUGCCCACCCCGUCGCCGACGGGCUGUCUAGCCCACUUCUCCGUUUUGCUUAAUUUUGCAUUUCCAAAUGAUCCGUAACGCAUUCCGAUGAUUCGUAAAGUUUCUUAUGAGCAUAUAGGGAUGUACAUAAGUAGAUAAGCGUGUAAGUAUGUUUAUAUGUAACCGUAUAUGUACGUAGAACUUAUGCAAGUAGGUAUGCGCGAAAGUAUGUAAGUUUAUAGUGUGGGAACAAGUACUAGUUAUGUAUGUAUAAAUGUGUAUGUAUAGAUAUCGGUUUAUGUAGGUACGCAAGUAUUUAUAUAAGAGCACAAGCAUCAUGCGAAUGAAUAUGAAAAUGUGUACGUAUGUAUGCAUGAUGAUAUGUAUGAGCGUAUGCAUGUAUGCGAAAAAUAUAGGAAAUGUGUGUACGUAUGUAGAUGUAUAAAUAUAUGAGUAUGUAAGUACAUAUAUGAUGUAUGAGUAGAAUGAAAUAAAUCGAUUUAUUUCGAUUAGUAAAUGUAUGAAUGUAAUAUGCUUAAAUAGGAAAUUAGAAACAAGCCGUAGACUUAAGUUUGUAUGAAUAAUAAUUGUAUACAAUUGGAAUAGAUUCAAUGAAUGAAAUGCAAGGGAUGAUAUGUGCUAGAAACUAGCAAUAUGAAAUGAAGGACACUAAUAAGAGCUCUGGAGCAGAAUCUAACAUAAGUAUAGUUAUGAAAGUAACUUACUUAUUAUAAGGGCAUAGGAACGAUGUGUACGAUUACGUACAUACAUGAAUUAAACAUUUGCCAAGAUCCCAAAUGUGUUUAGGUUGUAGUAAGUAUAGUGGAUGAACAACUUGAAAGAGGUAAGAGUAGAAUGGUCUAGUUUGAAUGAGAAAGGUUUCGGGGACGAAACCUCUUUUAAGGGGGGUAGACUUGUAACGCCCCAAAAUUAUGCAAAUUAAUUAUGUUACUUAAGAUGUCUAGUCAUGUAUUAUUUUACCUAGUUAAGUAUGUAUAUGUUAGUAACUUGAUUAGAAGGAAGGUUAUAUGACAAAUAAAAUAUCUAAGUAAAUAGGAGGACUAAACUUGUUAAAAGGUUGAAAGUUUAAUAAAUAAAAGAAAAAAAAAAUAAAAACACACACCCUGGUGUGAUGGCGUGGAUCGAUCAGAGCAAAGGGGGGAGAAGACAAACCCUAACUUCAUGAAAUUCUCAAGAAUUGAAAGAGAUUAGGAGCCCAAACUAAUGCAUGAACUCGAAACCUCAAUCAUCUAAGCUUGUACAACAAGCGGAACGUGUCAAGGAGAGGUCAAGCAUAGGAGGAUAACGGGUCAAGAUAAGGCAAGAUGACAAAUACACUUAUUGGAGUACUCGAGGUAAGUGAAUUUCGAUUCACUUUUUAGUAGGUUUAAUAGAUUUUAAUACUUAUGUUUACGAAACAUCAUGAAAGAACAUGUAAUAAUCAGAAGUACAAAGCCAAUAAUGCCUCAUUAUUGAAGAAGGUUGUAUUUAAGCCGAAAGUAAAUUGGUGGGUUUAAACGGGUCGAAUUUUAUGUGCAUAUGUUGCGUAAUGAAAUGAAAUUCGUUAUGGUUAAGACCUUGGGUAAGAAUUUUAGUCAUUAUGUAAGGGGAACAUUUCCCGGACCAUUAGGUACAAGUUUUAUAUGAUUCGGUUGUCGGUCAAUGAAUGAACGGAUUGUUUCGUUUUAGUGUAGGAAAUUUUAUAAGUAUAUGUGUAUAGGAAUCCAAAGGCCACGUGGGUUGAAUCGUAGAUUGUCUAUACUAUGUAAAGUUUUGAAUGUGACAUUCCGACAUAAACCUACAUGUAAAAGAAGCUUGUGUAUAUAUUCGUGAUUAAUUGAUUGUGCGAAGGAAGGAACAUUGGCAUGAAUGAAGGUACGCACAUAUAUAUAUAAGUGUAUAUAUAUAUAUAUAUAUGUAUGUAUGUAUGAUAAUAAGUACGUAGGUGUGAAUGUAUGUGUGAAUGAAUGUUCAAUGCUUAAGACAUAUGCAUGAACGUAUCAAAGGGUUCGAGUAUUUAUGGAUACUAAUGAUGUGCGUUGAGUUGGAAUGUAAUGUAGGUAUGGGGUCGUUGGCUUCAUGAAGAAAUGGAGCUGGAUUUGGAUAAGAGUAUUUAAGAAAGCGCUUGGACAAUUCCACGACUACUUUAUAGAAUGCUCUACGAAAUUUUAUUAUAUAGUUUAAUGUUGAAUGGUAUGUUAAUAACUAAUGGUUUGGUUGUACGUGGUGUCCACAGGUAUCGCUUGGGUUUUCUCUACUUUUAUUGAAGUGAAGCGGACUUAGUUCGAGUUGAGAGCAAGGAUUGUACGGGGUAGAAUGGUCACAUAGUGUAACUCAUAUAGGUUUUGAAGUAUUAAUGUUAUAAAACGUUAUAAAUCCGUUUUAAUGAAUAUAUGGAAUUUCGCAUUUGAACUUUCAUGUGUUUGAUAUGUCUAUUAAAGAACGAAAUUUUUGGGCUCUUGUUUUCCGCUGCGUCGUAUUUUAAGUUAUUACGCGUUAGUCUUACAGGGAAUUGUUCUUAUUACGAACGGGUCAUGCCCGAAUUUUGUUAAAUAAUAGUAUGAUAAUAUUACAUUUU